CGGUAGAACCAGUCGAGUUUCGAGUUUCGCCGAGGCCAGUCAUGGAAAUCGACCCGUGAAUACGCGCGCGCGUUCCGCUCUUUGAACCACCUUUGAAGACUUGGAUCCAAAUGCCGACCCGGUGCGGCGGAGUACCUCUCUAUGUAUGUAAUGCAAUAGAAGCUCAGCUGUCUCACUCUUUUCGCGCAUAUCGUGUCAUCGUGCGAAGGCAGCAACAGCAGCAAUAACAACUUAAACAAGAAAGCAUAACUUUAACACCGAAGGCCGGAGAGCUGCGGUGGAGAAUUCGCGCUUACCUUAACGUGUGGGAGCCGGAGCGGAUGUUGCGAGAUAUAAUAUUGUUUGUAUAGAUGUCUUUUUGAUUGCUGUUUGGGCUUAUUCUAGCGAAAGUGAGCAUCUUCCGAUUCGACUUUGAUCGUAUAUCCGCGCGUCGUCGUUCUGAAGUUCGUUCGUCGUUGAUUUGUUGGUUGGUGGCAUUGAAUAGAGCACGCGAACUUGUAGAGUCGCCUCCGUAUUCUGCUCCGUGGAUGGCAAAUUCUGAAUAGCGGUCGAAACCAGUUUCCGAAACCGAAAAGUCUUUGACCUAUAUAAUUCUGCGAGCUGCAUUGUUGUUAGUGGGAUGUGUGAAGCUUUGAAAAGUGAUGCCCAAAGGGAGAUUUCGUAAGAGGGGGUCUUUGAUACGUAUGUAGUGUAGUGCAGUCGAACUAGACCGGCAAAUACUGCUGCCGAGUUCGACGGAUGCUGAGCAUUAACGUCCAAGUGUAUUACUAGUUCAAUGUGCGGUGCAUGAGAGUCUAUCGAAAAGCCCUUCGAUUGCGUCGUCAACUGACCGGGUAACGAAGGCAAGGCGUGAGACAACGUUCUCUUUAUGGUUGACGCUUGGUUUGGAGGGCGGAGGUGGAAGCACUUACACACACAAUCCGUAGGUGAGGAAGUGGACUGCCGACCAUACGGCAAGAAAAGCAGACUUGGCAAGCAGUCUCGCGAAUUGCCGUCGCGACGUUGUAAAGUGGGUAUCGGACACAGCUAAAUCAUCAAUCGUCGACCGCGUGCAUCUAUCACGUUGCCCGAGGAGACCAGUUUUCUGCGGUGCUGCCCGUUGACAAAUGCCCCAACCCAGGUUUGGUCAGCGCAAUCAGGUGAUUUCUAGUUCUGGACAGCUACUAUUCCAGUCCAUCAAAGCAAAGUUGGAAAUGAACACAAAUAAAUUAAGGUGGAUAGCGAAGUGAUCAAACAUCAUCUGGUGCCGAUGAGUGGAAAAGCGAAAUAAACACUACUCGAAAAAGCGAAGCAAAAGCAGUAAAAAUUGUUAAUGUGAUCAAGUGCAAAGUUUUUAAUUGAAGAAGUCAGUUCACAGUAGGAGCGGCAAUAGCAGAAAAAGUUGCACUUGAGAGUGACAUCGGGUCCCCUGGCGACGAUAGUUGAACACCAAGAUCAACAAGGAGAGCCGACCGACCAACUGACAAAGAAGAGUAAGCACAAGGAAGGAAGGAAGCAAACAAAGUGGAAGAAGGUAGCAGCAGCAGCAGAAUCACUUUGUGGCACUUGUGCGAAUUUCCAUUUCAAAGAGUGCACUCGGUAAAGGUGGAAAGCUCACAGAGGAAAAGAGCGCGAGAAGAUAGUGUGCGGUGAGCAGAAGAAGAAAGAGUGUGGGGUGAAAAGCGUGCACUGCGUGGUCAUCUGAGUGUGGGUGGCGAGGGCGCUCCUUGGAAGCGCGUAGUGUAGCAAAAAGGAAUCAAAGGUGUCUGAGACCGGCGAGUCCAG
rnacentral:lncRNA from 1 species